rnacentral:lncRNA from 1 species
AUGGGAACAAAUAGCUUUGGGCAACACCAACUUAAACUGAAAAUGAAUAAAGGGAAUAAGAAGACUUUCCUUUCUUCUAGUGAAAAUAUUAAUACUACAAUAGGAAGACAGAAGGCAUUUUUUUUUAGUCUACAUAAAGCAAGUGAACGUUUGGAAAGUUCUGCAGUUGUGAAACGCUUGUUAUUACGGCACUGAUGAUACUGAAGAAAAAAGAAAGCUCUGCAUUGUAGAAAGUGGUGUCAAUAGGGUGGAUUUGGUGGAGGUAAUGGAGAAUCAUCAUGUGCAGAAGGAGCUCUUUUUGUACCUCCAGGUAGGGUACUCCUGCUCCUGAGUGUCAGUGAUUUUGCAGAGCAUGGCUCCUUGCCUGGCUCUCAGUUCACUGUUGUUUUAAGCUGUAGUUGUUCAGGUACAUUUGCUGAAGCGAAGUCAUGUUUGUCAUGACAAAGUCAUGUAAGUCUGUGAGAAUUUAGAGGUUACAACUAGGAGAAAUGAAACUGGAAAAAUGGAGAAUCAAUCUAAGAGAAGGAAAUCUAUCAUCACUGAAGGGAUUUUCAAAUGAGAGUUCAGCCAGGAGUGGGCCAAUGGUAACAUAGUCAAAUAAUUUUUCUGCACCUCCUAUUUUUUUCCUCUCAAAUUGAGUGAUGGAAGGAUAAGAAAAAUCACUGUGACUAAAAAUGUUUAUUUGAUGCAACUUACAUAAGAUGAAGUAAACUCACUGUUUAGUGUGCAAGAUUUAAAUGCUAUAAAGCUAAAUUCUGAGCACUUCUCAGAAUCUAGCAUUCCUUCAAAGGAGGAGGAGUAGAUUUUCAGGGAAAGUUGACACAGUGCUUCUGGACACACUGCCAUUGCUUAAGGAAGUAAAUUCUAAAGGGCACGUUAAACACAGUGAUUCAAGAGGAUUCAUUUCAGAAUAACUGUGCCUAGUGUUAUCCCAGAAUGAUUUUAGUUGUAAGCAAGAGAGAAGUGCCUGGCGCUUCUGAGAGCUUAUCAUACAUAUACUGCUCAUUUGGGGCCAGAUUGUGAAUGGUGCCUGAGGGAUACCAAAAUCUGAUCUCUGUCCUGAACAGGUACUGUAUAGAUGAUGCAGGCAACAUAUGAAAUGAAGAUGUCAAAUCAUUGUUGCCUGAGGGUUGAUAGCAGCAUAGCAGUAUGCCUGCACAAAGAGCUGUAUUGUUUACUCUUGAGCUUAAAAAAUUUGAUCCAAUGUGACAUAUUAAGCAAAAAUGUUUUCUUUCUUAAAGAAAUUGUUCUUGGCAAUUGCAAACAAGCCUGAAAAAGUAUCUGCGCAAUAGAUUCCCUAGCAAAUAACACAAAUUUAAAAACAGUAGAGCAUAUAUUCUUUAGCAUGAACAGUAUUGUCAGAGGUAUCCUGUCAAAUUAAUUUUACAGGAUGAAAUGUAUUAUGGAGGUGGCUCCUUUGACUUAAACAGUGUUGCCCUUGGGAUGAAUUUGUCCGGCGUUUCAUAGCAUUUUCUAAGGUGUAUGCCUUCAUACUGUGAGUACUGCUCAAUUCUGAUGUGUAGCCAUUGUGUUUGUGAAUAUAACUGAGUUGAAUCAUAUCAACUAGCUUCCAUGUAGAGAUUAAUAUCCAGGGUAAAGUGCGCUUGUCAUUUAAAUCCAAGCAAUGCAUGGAGUAUCUAGAGAAUUUCCAUGUUAUUGAGCUGCGUGCUCUGUAACUAGUACUUUGAGGGUCCCUGAACCAAAAAGAAAACAAAGGUGGGUUCUCACAAAUACAGAUGUUUGAGAAAGCUAGUUUAUACAACAUUCUGUAAACAAAUUAGCACAAAACAACAUCAGGUUUUGUACCUGUGGAAAAUUAAAAUAAAUGUGCCCUAGUCAAAAUUCUUUGCA